rnacentral:lncRNA from 1 species
AAUUAACCUAGUCCCCAAAAAGUAAAAAACCCUAAAAAUUGUUACUCAUCUCGUGGAUAUGAAGCGCCCUUAUGAUUCCGCCGACGCCGAUGACAUUCAAAAAGUAGAUGGUAACUUCCCUCUAAUUAGUUUUGUGGAAUUUAAUUUUUAAAGUUACAUUUUUCCGGUCACGAAAUUUAAUUUAUAUUAAACUUUUAAGCAUCAAACUUUGAAAUGAUGAUAAUAUGCAAUUUGUUUUUUCUUUUUGUUUGUUAGCUUUUUAUUAUCUGGAUACAGGAUAUUUUAAUUAAUUACUCUUUUGAGUAUUAUUUUGGCUAUUUCUCUCUUUUGUUUUUCUUCUGCAUGAUUUGGGGUGGAUCAGUGGAUUAGGACUUGUUUUAUUUUGCGUUAUUCUGAUUUUGUAUAGUGCUAUUUGUUCUCCGCAAAUGCAUUUUGCCAGGUAUUUUUGUUUACUUCUUUAUAUUUUCGAGUUUUUUUCCUCUUCUGCGAAUAUUUAUUUUUUAGGAUUGAACUUUGGUUGGGUUUGAAUUUAUUUGAUUACUGUGAAAAACUAAGCGUAUAAUGAGAAAUUUUGAUGAAAAAGGGCCUUAAACGGAUGCUGAAGAUUAUACUGAGGGGAAAAAUAAUGAUCAUGUUGGUAGAAGAAAUGCUGAUGAAAAUGAAGACGAGGAAUUAGCUUUUGCUGGGCUUGUGCAUGCUAACUUUAUUAGAGAACUUGAUUUGCUCUUAAUCAUCUUUGAAGUGGGUGUUAUGGCAACAAAUAAUCGUGCUUGAUAAUUUAGAAGCAGGAGAUGAUUCAUGCAACUCUGAUUGCCAAGGAAAUGGGAGGGAUGAAUCUGAGGAUUCUGUUGGAGAUGAAGAUAUUAGGCUUUUUGAAGAUGAGGGAGAUGAUGAAGAUAUUUUGGAAGAUGAUUGCCGUACUGCUAUUGACUCAGAAAUAGCACAACACGCUAUCGCCAAGUUCAUAUGUUUCGAUAAGAUGACACCGCAUGUCAAAAGUUACUAUUUUAGAGACUUUAUUGCUAGUUUGAAUCCUUCUUUGACUUUGGAUUCUAAUACAACCAAAAAGGAUUGCUUGACGAUUUUUGAGGAAGCGAAAUUAAAAGCUAAACGUACUUUGAAUAAUAUGGGUCGAUUAAUUGCUCUUUCAGUUGAUGUUUUAACUUGCUACAAAAACUGGAAUGCGAGUUAUGACUUCAUGUGUUUGUCAACCCAUUUCAUUGAUGAUAGCUGGAAAUUCAGGAAAUGGAUUCUUCGUUUUCGGCGAUACGAUAUGUGGAGGUCUGAUUUUAUUGAUGCAGCAAUUUUGAAAUCUCUAGAUGACUGGAAUCUCGAAGGUAAGGUAUAUUCUCUUACCUCAAGAAAUAUUGAUGCAUGUGAAGAAACUGUCGAGUCCAUCAAGUCUAAACUUAAGGAGAAGAAUAGAUUACCACUUGAUUCUCGUCUUUUUUCUGUGAGUUGUUGUGCUGAAAUGUUUGGUUCAACGGCGCAAGAUGCCUUUCAAGAGAUUUCUACUAUCAUCAGCAAACUUGAAAAGCUACAUUGGUCGAGGUCUGAAUCUAUGUGGCAUAUCACAAAUUCGAAACUGAAAAAUGCUUUAGAAAUGGAAACACUGGGAAAAUUCAAUUCAGAAGAUACUCUUAGGGAUUAUGAUGUGCCUUCUGCAGAUGAAUGGGAGAAAGUUCGCAUUGUGUAUAGAUUAGUGGAAAACGCUCACAAUGUUGCAAAACAGGUGUUUGAAACAAAACAUUCAACCGCUAACAAAUUUUUGUACAAUCUUCAGGAGCUUCGUGCAAAUUUAAUUCUUGAAGCCACCAGUUCAGUCUCCUUUGCUAGCUGCGUGGCUAAGAUAAUGCUUAGAAGGCUUGAUAAGUACAUAAAAGAAACGUUCCUGGUCCUGGCAAUUGCAUCGGUGAUGGAUCCACGUUGCAAGAUGCAAUACAUAGAAUAUAUUUCCAGAAAAUUUGAAGAUAUAGAUGGCAUCUUUCCAAGUAGUGCUGUUUUGGAGGCUUUUCGUACAAUCUAUGAAGAUUAUGUGAGCCAUGGCAUUGAAAUGGAUAAUUCUGAAGGUACUUCAAAUCUUAAAACAGAAGAGGGAAAUCCAAUAAAUGAUAAAGAACAGUUUCAAAUAUUUCCUGGAGGCCAAGAAUACAGUGAAUUUGUCCAAUCCAAUAAUCAGUCAAAAAAGUCUGAUCUGGAUUCAUAUUUAGAAGAGCCCGUCUUACCUUGGGACGAAAACUUCAAUGUAUUGCUAUGGUGGAAAUCUGAAGCUCCCAAGUAUCCAGACGUCUCAAAAAUUGCCCGUGACUUCUUGGCCAUCCCUAUAUCAGUGGCCACUUCACACGAUGCUUACUAUUACUUGGAAAAUAGACCACCUGAUCAUCAUGUCAUUACUUCGGGGGCAGAGAUGAUGAAUGCUUUGAUGUGCUGUAGGAGCUGGAAGUCAGGUCUGAAGAUUGAUUUUGAGUUCUGAUUUCUUACUGCUGGUAUAAAUAUAAAUUAACUUAUGAUGUCUAUGAUGUUGCCAUUGUCUGGGGAAGUUGUUUGGAUCCUUUUGCUUGCUUGAUCUUAUUUCGAGUUGCCAUAACUGAUCUGAGGACUAUUGUUCUUAUGUUAUUAGUCUCUAUCAGUCUACUAAAUUUCUAUUUUUGUUUCAACUAUUA